GCUGGGCAUGAUGGUGUGUGCCUGUAAUCCCAGCUACUUGGGGGGCUGAGGCAGGAGGAUCGCUUGAGCCCGGGAGGUCAAGGCUACAGUGAGCUGUGUUCAUGCCACUAUACCCCAGCCUGGGCAACAAAGUGAGUCCCUGACUCAA
rnacentral:SRP_RNA from 1 species